CCUCAUCUUACAACACUCUCACUCUUGACUUGUGCUACAGUUUUCUCUUGGGUCCCUGAAUGGGACAGGGAAACUUCCUCCUGGUAGCCUUUUGCUCCAAAAGAGAUCAAGUCCCUCUGCUACAUGCUCCUGCAGCCCUCAGGGUAUCAUCUCUGUAACCUUAACCACCAUUGUAAAUAACUGUUUUUGGUAUUACUUGCUUGUUAUCUGCUUUAUCUCUUUCCUAGAGUCACCAUGAGAGCAAGGAAAACCAGUAUCUUAUUUACCACUGUAUCUUCAGAAUUGAGCAUGUAUGUAGUACCUGGCCUAUAGUAUACACUCAACUGUUUGCAUAAACAAAUGAAUAAUAAUAAAUCAAUCAAAAGUAAAAUAUGAGUUCACUAUCAUGACAGCAUACACAACAAACUUUUUCUCUGAAUAAGUAGAUGGUGUGCCUUCCCCAAUACCUUUUGCUAGUUCUCUUGGUAGCCAAUAGCAUGCUUUUACAAAGUGACACAUAUUCAGGAUGACUGCCUUGAUUUGUGUUAGUCAACGGCUAUGACACUUAGUCAAGGAAAUUGGCCCAUACGUUGUUUAAACCCAUACUUACCUGCCACUAAAUCUGUGUUGGAUUUUUUUUUCUUUUCCUUUUUUUGCCAGAAGAAAAGAAAUGAAACUGCCCUGAAUUUUCAGUCCUCGUUCUCAGUAUUUGAUAUCUGAGUAUGAUCUCAUGAUAGAGCACACAGCUGACCCCCGAAGAAUAAAGAAAAGUCUACAAAUGUUAAAAAUCAAAAGAAAGCACUUAGAAUUUCAUUAUAUUGAAACUAGAAGAGAUCCCUCCACCCUCCAAAACCUCCUAGUCCAACCUCUCUGCUCUAAAGGAAAUAAAAAGAUGUAACAAAGGGAAGAAGCUUACUUACCAAAGGGAAUAUAGUGAGUUUAGUGGCCUGGGUGAUGCUAGAACACAAGUUUUCUAAUCAUCUACUGUCUCUCUUUCUGUCUUAGUAGGCACUAGACAGUAGCACUUUCUGUAAUGCUGGAAUUGUUCUAUGUCUGUGCCGGCCAAGAUGGUAGCCACUAUCCACAUGUGGCUAUUAAGGACUUGAGAUGUGGCCAGUACAACCGAGGCAAUGCAUUUUUAAUUUAAUUUUAAUUAAUUCCAAUUUAAGUAGACACAUAUGGUUAGUGGAUACUGUAUUGGAUAACACAGUUCUGGAAUAUGCCAGCUAGGUCAAGGAAAAUAAAACCAGUAACAUCAAAUAAUUUUCUAUUAAACUGGAAGAUCUUGAAUUACCUGACAGUAACCUUUCAGGACAGGGAUAACAAAGAAAGAAGGAAAUACGAUAUGCUUGGUUUCAGUUAAUGGAAAACAACAACAACAAUUCAAGCUACGAUGCAUAAUAAAGAAGAUGAAUGAUUUCUCUUCUAUAAUUUUUUUGUUACGUUUAUUUUUGAGAGAGACAGAGACUGAGUGGGGGAGAGGCAGAGAAAAAGAGGGAGACACAGAAUCCAAAGCAGGCUCCAAGCUGUCAAUAGAGAGACUGACGCGGUGCUCGAAUUCAUGAACCAUGAGAUCCUGAGUGGAAGUUGGACACUUAAUCCACUGAGCCACCCAGGCGUCCCAAAAAUGAAUGAUUUCUUAAAGGUUGAGAGUUCACAGGAGCGCAUCCUACGGCAGGCUCUCCACAAUGGAUCAAGCAUAGCUGCCCACAGCUGUCUCAGUUAUGAGCUUCUUCAUCCACAUAAUGGCAACAGAAAGAACUGUUUUGAUUUCUGUCAGAUGAGCAAGGAAGAUUCUUUUUCAGCUUCCACUAGCAAACCACUUCUCGUAUGGCUUUAAUUUAACUUGGGUCACUUACUGCUCCUGGUAAUCAAUGACUUGAGCCAGGUACUGGCUUGGCCGAGGGAAAAAAAAUCAUAUUGCUAGGCUUAGAGCCACACCACACUCUCCAGGCCCAAAUCAAGAAAGAAAUCACUUUCUGCCAGAAGAGAUGCAUGGAGUGAGAGUACCCCAAUCCAUCCACAUCUGAUUGGAUCAGGAAAAUAAAACACCUGACUCAAAUAAGCAUCAACCAUAGUUUGGCCACAGAUCUGGAAAUGAAGAGAAAAGUGCAGUUUCCAGAAGUUCCGAGAUCCAGUCUUAUAGCCAUGCUUGGAGCCCAGAGAUUGGUGCUUAGAUAUUCAAGUAUUUGUUGAAGGAAUGAAUGAGUGAAUGAAUGAACAGAGGCUUCGUGACUUCAAGAGACCUCAGUGUAGGAGACUUUCACUCUAUGUCUUGCUUUCACCAAUUAUACUACAGAUACCUGUCCAUUGCCUGGUUUGUGAUUGCCAGUUUAUUUAUUAACCUAACAAAAUCUCCACCCCAAAGCUUCCCUUGGAUCUCUCCCCCUUAUUGAAAAAUCUGUGUCCACCCACAAGCUUAUCCUUAGUUUCAGAAUGAAUUUCCUCUCAUGAUAGUUUGACAUUAUUUUCUCCAUACCUAGACUCCAAGGGAUAAAGGGGUGGGGGGAACCAGAGAUUGCUUUUUUGUGCUUUAAAUUAAAGAUAAAUCAUCAGACUUCUUAAAAAUGAAAUGUUAAUAGUCUAUCAUUUUCAUUCAUACAAAAAAUAUUUUUUGAGUUCCUACUGUGUGCCAGGUAUAAGAGCUGAGGUAUAGUCUGAGGAUGCAAACCAACCAGACAAGAAUCUUUGACCUUGUAGAACUUAAAUUCCAAAGGAGGGAGCCAGUAGUGAGCCAAACAGACAACUAAAACACAGGGUGUAUUAGGAGGUGAUAAGCAGCAAGAAAAGAAACAAAGAACAGCAGUGGGAUAGGCAGUGAUGAGGGCAGGGUGCAAUUUUUAAUGGAUAGGGUGCUUAUGGGUUCCAUUACAGCCCAUCACAAAGGUACACUGAAGUCCUAACCUCCAGUAUUUCAGAAUGUGACAUGAUUUAGAAAUAGUCUUUGCAGACGUCAUUAGUUAAGAUGAGGUCAUGCUGGAGUAGGAUGGGCUCCUAAUACAAUAUGACUGGUGUCCUUCUAAGAAGAUAGUGUGAAGACACACAGGGAGAGUGCCAUGCAGUGAAGAGGCAGAGGUUUGAGUCACUCAGUUAAAAGAUUUAAGACCACCACAAGAAGCUGGGAAGAGGCAAGAAAAGAUUCUACCCAGAGUCUUCGAGGCAACAUGGCCCUGCUGACACCUUGACUUGGGACUUCUAACCUCCAGAACUGUGGGAGAAUAAAUAUGUGUUUUAAGCCACCCAGUGUGUGCACUUUGUAAUGGCAGCUCUAGGAAACUAAAAUAGUGGAGGGGCUGGGAGAAUCCUUCAACUGUGAGGAUGACAUCUAAGAAAAGACUUGAAGUUGGUGAUCAAGCCACAUGUGUAGCUAUCUGGGAGAAAGGGAACAAAAACCACAAAGGCAAAGCAGUAGGAGCAGACUUAGUAUAUUCAUGUGGCUACAAGGAGGCCACAGUGGCUGGGGUAGGGUGAGGAGAGGGGGUAUAGUCAAUGAAAUCCAAGGGUAAUGAGAUCUAAAUACCAUAGAGUCUUGUAGCACAGUAGUGCUCAAACUUUAGCUGGGUAUCAUAAUUACCUGAUGGACUUAUUAAAACACAGAUUGCUGGGCCCACCCCUAGACCACCAGACUUUCUGAAUAAGUAGAUCUGGGGUCAAGCCUAAGAACAUGCAUGUCUAACACUUUUCUGAAGCCGAUAUUUUGGUCCAGGGACCAUCUUUGAGAAGCAUGGUUGUAGAGCAUCAUUAUGACUUAGAUCUUUGUUCUGUGUUAAGAUACAAGCUAUUACAAGGUUAAAGCAGAGGAGUGACACAAUAUGACCUCUAUUUUAGCAGGAUACUGUGUUCAUGGGUUGGGAAUAGGCUCUAAGAGGUGACAGGUAGAAGCAGAGAGACCAGUUAUGACAUUAUUGAAAUAAUGUGAAGCAUGUAUUUAAAAGUUGAUAUGAAAAAUUAACAACACAAGAAAACAGCAGGUGUUGGUGAGGAUGUGGAGAAAGGGGAACCCUCUUAUACUGUUGGUGGGAAUGCAAAGUAGUGCAACCACUCUAGAGAACAGUAUGAAGGUUCCUCAAAAAGUUAAAAAUAGAACUACCCUAUGAUCCAGCAAUUGCACUAUUAGGUAUUUAGCCAAAGGAUACAAAAAUACAGAUUCAAAGAGGUACAUGCACCCCAAUGUUUAUAGCAGCAUUAUCAACAAUAGCCAAGCUAUGGAGAGAGCCCAAAUAUCCAAUGACUGAUGAAUGGAUGAAGAAGAUAUGAGAUAUACACACACACACACACACACACACACACACACACACACACACAAUGGCAUACUACUUAGCCAUCAAAAAGAAUGAAAUUUUGCCAUUUGCAAUGAUGUGGAGGGAGCUAGAGUAUAUGAUGCUAAGGGAAAUACGUCAGUCAGAGAAAGAUAAAUACCAUAAGAUUUCACUCAUAUAUGGAAUUUAAGAAACAAAAUAGAUGAACAUAUGAAGGGGGAGAGAGAGGGAAACAAACCAUGAACAACUCUUAAAGAGAACAAACAGGAUUGAUGGAGGGAGGUGGGUGGGAGAUUGGCUAGAUGGGUGAUGGGUAUUAAGGAGGGCAAGUAAAUACAACUGGGUGUUGUAUGUAAGUGAUGAAUCACUGAAUUCUACUCCUGAAACCAAUAUUUCACUGUAUAUUAACUAACCAGAAUCUAAAUAAAAAAUUGAAAAAAAUAAAAGUAGAUAUCAACUAGUAUGUGUUACAUAUGACCCAGGGUUUUUUUGGAGAGGGCAGGAGCAUGUGGGUUAGUCCACAGAAAGUGAAUAUAUAACUAAGAGACCUAAGUUACCUGGUGCCUUGAGAGCUUGGCAUUCUUAGAGGACAACUCUUAUUUAAUAUGAGUUAUAUUACCUCUGAGCAGCACUACCUUCCCUCCUGUCACCUCCAUGCACAGCCAAUUCAGCAAUCAAGGCCAUGUCACAUCUUGAGAUUUUUAAUGGGCUCUGUAGGCCAUCCACUGGAGUUUUGAAUUCUUGGAUUGCUUUUAAAAGAGAAAAAGGUCUCUUUCCUCCAUCCUAACACCAACCCAGAAUUCUUUGAAUUUUAAGAGUUUUUGCUUGAGUAGCUAAUGAGGACUCUAAUACAUAUGUCCUGUUAAGGCUCUCAGAUCAUUCCCACAAUGACCUUUAAGAAGGUCCUAAAAUAGAUUAGAAUAUAUGUAUCUUUUUAUAUAAAGCCUAAACCUUACAGUGGAAGAAAUUUCAGAUGUGAAGAAUAAAACAAAAUACUAGGGUUAAUAAUGACCAAAAAAGUAAUAUUUAGAAGGAAUAAUACAUCCAACCUUUACAGAGCAUUUGAUUUCUAUUAUCACAUUCUUUUUUCACUCAGUGUGUGCUCUCACCUUCCUAUUGAUCUAUC